GAUGAACGCUGGUGGCGUGCCUAAUACAUGCAAGUCGAGCGAACGGACGAGAAGCUUGCUUCUCUGAUGUUAGCGGCGGACGGGUGAGUAACACGUGGAUAACCUACCUAUAAGACUGGGAUAACUUCGGGAAACCGGAGCUAAUACCGGAUAAUAUUUUGAACCGCAUGGUUCAAAAGUGAAAGACGGUCUUGCUGUCACUUAUAGAUUGAUCCGCGCUGCAUUAGCUAGUUGGUAAGGUAACGGCUUACCAAGGCAACGAUGCAUAGCCGACCUGAGAGGGUGAUCGGCCACACUGGAACUGAGACACGGUCCAGACUCCUACGGGAGGCAGCAGUAGGGAAUCUUCCGCAAUGGGCGAAAGCCUGACGGAGCAACGCCGCGUGAGUGAUGAAGGUCUUCGGAUCGUAAAACUCUGUUAUUAGGGAAGAACAUAUGUGUAAGUAACUGUGCACAUCUUGACGGUACCUAAUCAGAAAGCCACGGCUAACUACGUG
rnacentral:rRNA from 1 species